rnacentral:rRNA from 1 species
AUACGGAGGGGGUUAGCGUUGUUCGGAAUUACUGGGCGUAAAGCGCACGUAGGCGGACCGGAAAGUAAGAGGUGAAAUCCCAGGGCUCAACCCUGGAACUGCCUUUUAAACUAUCGGUCUAGAGUUCGAGAGAGGUGAGUGGAAUUCCUAGUGUAGAGGUGAAAUUCGUAGAUAUUAGGAGGAACACCAGUGGCGAAGGCGGCUCACUGGCUCGAUACUGACGCUGAGGUGCGAAAGCGUGGGGAGCAAACAGGAUUAGAAACCCUUGUAGUCC